CCUGUAGCUCAGCUGGAUAGAGCAACGGCCUUCUAAGCCGUAGGCCAAGGGUUCGAAUCCCUUCGGG
rnacentral:tRNA from 2 species